rnacentral:rRNA from 1 species
CCUACGGGAGGCAGCAGUGGGGAAUAUUGCACAAUGGAGGAAACUCUGAUGCAGCGACGCCGCGUGAGUGAAGAAGUAUUUCGGUAUGUAAAGCUCUAUCAGCAGGGAAGAAAAUGACGGUACCUGACUAAGAAGCACCGGCUAAAUACGUGCCAGCAGCCGCGGUAAUACGUAUGGUGCAAGCGUUAUCCGGAUUUACUGGGUGUAAAGGGAGCGUAGGUGGCAAGGCAAGCCAGAAGUGAAAACCCGGGGCUCAACCGCGGGAUUGCUUUUGGAACUGUCAUGCUAGAGUGCAGGAGGGGUGAGCGGAAUUCCUAGUGUAGCGGUGAAAUGCGUAGAUAUUAGGAGGAACACCGGAGGCGAAGGCGGCUCACUGGACUGUAACUGACACUGAGGCUCGAAAGCGUGGGGAGCAAACAGGAUUAGAUACCCCAGUAGU